rnacentral:piRNA from 1 species
ACCCUUUGAAAUCCUGAAUCCUGAAGAGA